rnacentral:rRNA from 1 species
UACGGAGGAUGCAAGCGUUAUCCGGAUUUAUUGGGUUUAAAGGGUGCGCAGGUUGUUUGAUAAGUCAGUGGUGAAAGUCUGUCGCUUAACGGUAGGAUUGCCAUUGAUACUGUUAGACUUGAAUAUGGAUGAGGUAGGCGGAAUGUGUAGUGUAGCGGUGAAAUGCAUAGAUAUUACACAGAACACCGAUUGCGAAGGCAGCUUACUAAUCCAUCAUUGACGCUGAGGAACGAAAGCGUGGGGAUCAAACAGGA